CUGGCUGUAAACGGUGAGCACUAGGUGUGGGGGGUAUCGACCCCCCCCGUGCCGCAGCUAACGCAAUAAGUGCUCCGCCUGGGGAGUACGGCCGCAAGGUUGAAACUCAAAGGAAUUGACGGGGGCCCGCACAAGCGGUGGAGCAUGUGGCUUAAUUCGAUGAUACGCGAGAAACCUUACCCAGGCUUGAACUGCAGGGUAAUCCUCUGGAAACAGAGGGUCCUUCGGGGAUCCUGUAGAGGUGC
rnacentral:rRNA from 1 species